GAUGAACGCUGGCGGCGUGCCUAAUACAUGCAAGUCGAGCGAACAGACGAGGAGCUUGCUCCUCUGACGUUAGCGGCGGACGGGUGAGUAACACGUGGAUAACCUACCUAUAAGACUGGGAUAACUUCGGGAAACCGGAGCUAAUACCGGAUAAUAUAUUGAACCGCAUGGUUCAAUAGUGAAAGACGGUUUUGCUGUCACUUAUAGAUGGAUCCGCGCCGCAUUAGCUAGUUGGUAAGGUAACGGCUUACCAAGGCAACGAUGCGUAGCCGACCUGAGAGGGUGAUCGGCCACACUGGAAGUGAGACAAGGUCCAGACUCCUACGGGGGGCAGCAGUAGGGAAUCUUCCGCAAUGGGCGAAAGCCUGACGGAGCAACGCCGCGUGAGUGAUGAAGGUCUUCGGAUCGUAAAACUCUGUUAUUAGGGAAGAACAAAUGUGUAAGUAACUAUGCACGUCUUGACGGUACCUAAUCAGAAAGCCACGGAUAACUACGUG
rnacentral:rRNA from 1 species